rnacentral:lncRNA from 1 species
CUUAAACUUUUAUAAUGUUGCAAUUUUUUCUUUAAUUGCUACUUUCGUCUGACGACUAUGAUGGAAAUGUCACAUGCUAUUAUGUAAUACAGUAAAAGUUGAUGUGGCAUAGAAUGAGCUGACGUAGAAUUUUAAAUAUUUUUUUUCUCACUUGUUUCUUCUAGCUAAAAUUUUUAUUUUUCAUUUCAUCAUUUUUUCUCCACCAUGACCUCCUCUAAAAUCCCCACCACCUCUUACAUCAGCAUCAGUAUCUCCGUCUAUACUAUUACCAUCUCUAAAUCCUCCAUCAUGGCUACCACCACCACC